CCUUUGAUAGCUCAAUUGGUAGCACAGAGGACUGUAGAAGUGCACCAGUAUCCUACUUCAGGGUGCUGGUUCAAAUCUAGCUCAAAGGA
rnacentral:tRNA from 1 species